GGAGAGCUGUCCGAGUGGUCGAAGGAGCACGAUUGGAAAUCGUGUAGGCUGCGACAGUGGUCUCGAGGGUUCGAAUCCCUCGCUCUCCGCCA
rnacentral:tRNA from 1 species